AUCUUGCUAGAGUUCUCUGUGUUUGUGAGGUGUUCUAAGGGUAAGUAGUUUUUAUUUUUCUUUGUUUCUGUGUCUAUAGCUGUUUUAUCUGAGCUUGUCCUCACUUGUUGUAGUUUAUGACUUUGCUUUUCUACUAUUGUUACUGUCCUUUGUAUUGCGUUGCAGUGCUACAACUUCCAAUGAGCUUCUCUUUCCUAAUAUGCAUUCAGUCAAAGCAGAAGGCCCUUCUAAGUGCACCAUAAGCUUAUCUGUAUUUUUUGCCUUUCUGUUAGUAGGACAACUCCAUUUUACAUAGGAUCUCUCUGGUGAAGGAUGUUGGGUGCCCCUGGGUACUAUGCAUCAGGGUGCCAUAGGGACAGAGUUCUGACCCUCUCAAAAAAAGCUGUGUUAUAGCUAAUGCAGUCUUUUGUAACGUUAGGCUUUAAAACUUCAUUCUGUUGUUUACUACUUUGAUUGUACGCAAGCAAACAAUCAAGAAGGAAAUAAUUCUGCUUCUGAGAGGCUAGGCCUGAGCAUAGAAGAAAUUAAGUCAUUUGCUUCAAAGAAAGGGAUGUAAACAAUAAAAGGAAGGAUUCAUUGUUACUUCUUAAUUAAUUAUCUCAAUCCUAGUCACUUUUUCACAGGUAAAGAAGCACUCAUUACGUAGGAUUUCUGGUAUUUGCUGCAAUGUUAGGUGCUAUGUUGACUGAGUCGGUCUUCUAUUAUACCAAACGCAUAUCUCGGGUUGUGCACCUUGACUAGGAGCAACUGACCCUGCUCAAAAUGCAAGUUUCAGAAAAUCAAUCCUCACCAGGCCAGGUAACCAGCAGCUCCAGUCUGAGCACUGUGCUAGCUUGUGGUGUUGGCUUUAUGGCUGUCAGUAAGCUGGAACCAAGGAUAGCUGAUGCAGUUCAGGUCCAGGAAAGCCUCCAAGGAACCAUCAGGGGACUUACAAAGCCAAGAGGAGAUUCCUUUAUGGUUCAUGUUUUCCGGUAGCUAAUUUAAGCAUACAAGCUCUAGUAGGAUUCUACUGGCAAACCUCUAGCUAUUUAUAAUGCAGUAGAAUCAAUAGGUAUUAGAGCAGUAUCCUGCUGUCUGUUAAGGAUGUGUGUAAUAAAUGGCAUACCGAGAUGGUUCAAAUAUUAAGAGGAAUCGUACAACAUUUUAAGUUGCAGGCUGAGUAUUCUUAACAGCAAGAACAACACGAAAACCUGAGUUGUAAACUGUACAAGCAAGGGAAUCCCUCAAAGUUUAGGACCUGAGGUCCCUUGUGUAAUUUUAACUUACUGAAAGUUGCAUGGGUCCUAAGUAUUUUUGGAUAAAGCUGACACUACACUGAAAACAGGGCAUUUCUGUAGUACACCCAUUACGUGAUUUAAAUCUAAUGAUUGUGAUUUAGGUACCCUUACUUCCAAGCAAAGUUUACCUCUCUGCUUGGUGUUUAGUACUGAUGAACCUCCUUGUCUGUAAUAAUUGCUAAGCACUCUGCAGGAGUGUCAUGGUAUUCAAAUUAUUAUUGUGUUUCAAUUCAUUAUAUAUUUUCCCCCCAGUACUUUUGCUGCAAAUAAUGGUAAGCUACAUUGGAAUGAAAAAUCUUGCCCGGCUGAUGAAAACCAAUGUGAGGCUUCCUUCUAUCCUGUGAUAACGGUUCUGUAAUGGGUACACAGGAAACAGAUUUUCCAGUUCACUAUGUACUUAGUGGCAAGAAACCAAUGAGCAGGGUCCCAUGGUGCCAUUGUGACAGUGAAUAUAAGUCCUACCACCAUAAGAAGCUUACUCAAAGCUUAGAAACACAGAGAAUGUGGGUUUUUUUAUGUUAAUGUUAUGAUACAUGGCUGGCGAAGGACUUUUGAACUGCAAUUAAUUACUGCUGAAGGAAUAGCUUGACUUUAGCAGCUGGGAACAUUUCCAGGACUCCACUGUUAAGCGCAGUGUAUGAACAGAACUAGGUCAGACAAACCUGCUCAAACCGUAAGCAAAAUGUGAUGGUGAAAAUGUGCCAACAGCCCUUUCUUGUCUCUAGACAAAUAGCCCGUGGGAUUUCAUUAUGUCUUUAUGAGAAAAAUAUAGGUACUGAAAGGGGGGCACAUAAGGUGAUGCACACAAGUGGUGAAUAUCAGCCCCCCUCUCAGGGAAUUCUUCCCAGGAUCUUUGCACAGACCGCACUGCAGUGCAAACAAGCCACAGGAGCCCUAUCUCUGCUCAGGCACUCUUUCACAGCCAAAAUGUGAGUAGUUACCAAUCAGCUCAGAGAACUUAGACAGACACACAGUAAAUCCCAUCAGUUUUUGUGGCAUCCGCAUCCUAGAUCACAGCUGAUGGCCUCGUAGGGACUGCUCCAUGAUUCUGAUUCCCCAGUUCAGUGCUGGGAAUGAGGUACCAUUUAUAGAGCAUGCAGGUCAUUCCAUGAAGGAGUUUCUCACAUGGGAAAGCUGAAAGACUGGCAUUACUGUGCCAGGGUAGAUUUUGAAGGGCAAGUUCCAAAUAAAGACUAUUGCAAGUUAUGCUGAUGUCAAAUACAUACAGGAAUAAAUACCAUCAAAAGAACUAAAAGGCUGAGGGAUGUAGGCU
ensembl:lncRNA